AUUGAACGCUGGCGGCAUGCCUUACACAUGCAAGUCGAACGGCAGCACGGGUGCUUGCACCUGGUGGCGAGUGGCGAACGGGUGAGUAAUAUAUCGGAACGUACCUUAUUGUGGGGGAUAACGCAGCGAAAGCUGUGCUAAUACCGCAUAAUCCCUAAGGGGGAAAGCGGGGGACCGUAAGGCCUCGCGCAAUUAGAGCGGCCGAUACCUGAUUAGCUAGUUGGUGAGGUAAAGGCUCACCAAGGCAACGAUCAGUAGCUGGUCUGAGAGGACGAUAAGCCACACUGGGACUAAGACACGGCCCAGACUCCUACGGGAGGCAGCAGUGGGGAAUUUUGGAAAAUGGGGGCAACCCUGAUCCAGCAAUGCCGCGUGAGUGAAGAAGGCCUUCGGGUUGUAAAGCUCUUUUGUCAGGGAAGAAACAGCAGCUCUAACACAGUAUGCGAAUGACGGUACCUGAAGAAUAAGCACCGGCUAACUACGUGCCAGCAGCCGCAGUAA
rnacentral:rRNA from 1 species